rnacentral:rRNA from 1 species
GAUCCUUCGGGGUCUAGUGGCGCACGGGUGCGUAACGCGUGGGAAUCUGCCCUUAGGUACGGAAUAACUCAGAGAAAUUUGAGCUAAUACCGUAUGAUGACGUAAGUCCAAAGAUUUAUCGCCUGAGGAUGAGCCCGCGUAGGAUUAGCUAGUUGGUGGGGUAAAGGCCUACCAAGGCGACGAUCCUUAGCUGGUCUGAGAGGAUGAUCAGCCACACUGGGACUGAGACACGGCCCAGACUCCUACGGGAGGCAGCAGUGGGGAAUAUUGGACAAUGGGCGAAAGCCUGAUCCAGCAAUGCCGCGUGAGUGAUGAAGGCCUUAGGG